GACGAACGCUGGCGGCGUGCUUAACACAUGCAAGUCGAGCGAAGCGCUUUGAAUUUUUCGGAAUGAGAAGUGACUGAGCGGCGACGGGUGAGUAACGCGUGGGUAACCUGCCUCAUACAGGGGGAUAACAGUUAGAAAUGACUGCUAAUAUCGCAUAAGCGCACGUCAUCGCAUGAUGGUGUGUGAAAAACUCCGGUGGUAUGAGAUGGACCCGCGUCUGAUUAGGUAGUUGGUGGGGUAACGGCCCACCAAGCCGACGAUCCAUAGCCGGCCUGAGAGGGUGAACGGCCACAUUGGGACUGAGACACGGCCCAG
rnacentral:rRNA from 1 species